UACGGAGGGAGCUAGCGUUGUUCGGAAUUACUGGGCGUAAAGCGCACGUAGGCGGCUACUCAAGUCAGAGGUGAAAGCCCGGGGCUCAACCCCGGAACUGCCUUUGAAACUAGGUGGCUAGAAUCUUGGAGAGGCGAGUGGAAUUCCGAGUGUAGAGGUGAAAUUCGUAGAUAUUCGGAAGAACACCAGUGGCGAAGGCGACUCGCUGGACAAGUAUUGACGCUGAGGUGCGAAAGCGUGGGGAGCAAACAGG
rnacentral:rRNA from 2 species